rnacentral:rRNA from 1 species
UACGUAGGUGGCAAGCGUUGUCCGGAUUUACUGGGCGUAAAGGAUGCGUAGGCGGACAUUUAAGUCAGAUGUGAAAUACCCGAGCUUAACUUGGGUGCUGCAUUUGAAACUGGGUGUCUAGAGUGCAGGAGAGGUAAGUGGAAUUCCUAGUGUAGCGUUGAAAUGCGUAGAGAUUAGGAAGAACACCAGUGGCGAAGGCGACUUACUGGACUGUAACUGACGCUGAGGCGUGAAAGCGUGGGGAGCAAACAGG